rnacentral:rRNA from 1 species
CCUACGGGUGGCAGCAGUGAGGAAUAUUGGUCAAUGGACGAGAGCCUGAACCAGCCAAGUAGCGUGAGGGAUGACUGCCCUAUGGGUUGUAAACUUCUUUUGUAUGGGGAGAAUAAGCUCCACGCGUGGUGUGUUGUAAGUACCAUACGACUAAGCAUCGGCUAACUCCGUGCCAGCAGCCGCGGUAAUACGGAGGAUACGAGCGUUAUCCGGAUUUAUUGGGUUUAAAGGGAGCGUAGGUGGAAUGUAAAGUGAGGUGUAAAAAUUUGGGGCUUAAACGUAACAUCGCAGUUGAUACUGGAAGUCUAGAGUACAGGAGAGGUAGGCGGAAUUAGUUGUGUAGCGGUGAAAUGCAUAGAUAUCACGAAGAACACCGAUAGCGAAGGCAGUUCACUGGACUGCAACUGACACUGAGGCACGAAAGUGUGGGUAUCAAACAGGAUUAGAUACCCUAGUAGUC